rnacentral:rRNA from 1 species
AGUGAACGCUGGCGGUAGGCCUAACACAUGCAAGUCGAACGGCAGCACAGUAAGAGCUUGUUCUUACGGGUGGCGAGUGGCGGAUGGGUGAGGAAUACAUCGGAAUCUACUUUUUCUUGGGGGAUAACGUAGGGAAAAUUACGCUAAUACUGCAUACGACCUACGGGUGAAAGCAGGGGAUCUUCGGACCUUGCGCGAUUGAAUGAGCCGAUGUCGGAUUAGCUAGUUGGCGGGGUAAAGGCCCACCAAGGCGACGAUCCGUAGCUGGUCUGAGAGGAUGAUCAGCCACACUGGAACUGAGACACGGUCCAGACUCCUACGGGAGGCAGCAGUGGGGAAUAUUGGACAAUGGGCGCAAGCCUGAUCCAGCCAUACCGCGUGGGUGAAGAAGGCCUUCGGGUUGUAAAGCCCUUUUGUUGGGAAAGAAAAGCAGCAGGUUAAUACCCCGCUGUUCUGACGGUACCCAAAGAAUAAGCACCGGCUAACUUCGUG